rnacentral:rRNA from 1 species
CAGUCGCCGCGGUAAUACGUAGGGUGCAAGCGUUAUCCGGAAUUAUUGGGCGUAAAGAGCUCGUAGGCGGUUUGUCGCGUCUGCUGUGAAAACUGGAGGCUCAACCUCCAGCCUGCAGUGGGUACGGGCAGACUAGAGUGCGGUAGGGGAGAUUGGAAUUCCUGGUGUAGCGGUGGAAUGCGCAGAUAUCAGGAGGAACACCGAUGGCGAAGGCAGAUCUCUGGGCCGUGACUGACGCUGAGGAGCGAAAGCGUGGGGAGCGAACAGGAUUAGAUACCCCUGUAGUCCCUGUCUCUUAUAC